GUGAGGCAAUACAGAGCACGGUGACUUGCGGGAAGGCAAAAUCCUCCGUGUGCUUUAAUUAGCUAAAUUGAUUGGUAUUAGUUAAACAAAUCUUAUCUCAUUAGUCCGAUUCAGGUAGGAAAAGAGAGCAAUUGCUCUAUUUGUUGGGAAUGUGCGUUUAGAGUAAACACAGCACGUUAUCUUUUUGUGAAACUGUUUGAAACAAAUUUGGUGCAUUAAAAAAGUGCCAAACAGUUGACCGUUUAAUGUGGAUGUAACUGAAAUACCACGGAAAGUUGUCCCAGGUAUUGAAGAUAUCUUCCACACAGAAUUCCAAGGGGUGUGUGUGAGAGAGCUCUGGUACACUUGGAGAAGGAAUGACCUAUAGAAUAAUCUUCAGAGUCUGCCAGAAGCUGUUUACGCUGGAUAAAAUCCACUGAUUGUGAGAUACAUUUUUACAGAUUAUCACAUACAGACUGUAAUAAAAAGUUUGAUGAAAAGAUAUUUCUGGAGUGAAUAAUUUCCAGUUUCGAAUUGAUUCUUAAGAGUGCCUAUGUCAUCUACAAAGCAUCUAGAAAGCCAGUUUACUCGCACUUCAAGUUAUCCUGUGGAACCUUAAUUACGCUUUUCGAGUGAUAGGUUAUUUGUUUUAUGUGCAUUAUUCAGCUGCUAUACAUAAUUUGAUAAUAAACAUAUUAUUUCUGGAUAGAAUGUUGUAAGCUGAUUAAUGAAUCAGCAAUUUUACCCCACGGAAAAGAUGGCAGGAUUAACACGAAAUAGCAGAGUUUCUGCGAUGCCUCUCAAAGCUAAGAAGAAAGUGUUGCUGCUCUUAAUGCUGAUACUAUACACCAGUUGUUCUCAAA